UCAGAAAAUAGUAUAAUAAUAAAUAUAUAAAUUUUGGGGAUUUAUGUUGAUUAAUAAAUCUUUUCUGAU
rnacentral:tRNA from 1 species